AGCGCUUCUGCCAAGCCAGAGCUAGCUGAGUUGCUCACUGAGACAUCUUUCUGGCACUGCUAGUGUGCCUCCAUUGAAGAACGGAGCCAUGGAAGACAAACCACUGGUAGUAUCUAAACAGAAGACAGAGGUGGUAUGCGGUGUGCCCACCCAGGUGGUCUGCACGGCCUUCAGCAGCCACAUCCUGGUUGUGGUGACCCAAUUCGGGAAGAUGGGUACGUUAGUCUCCUUGGAGCCCAGCAAUGUAGCCAAUGACAUCAGCAAACCAGUGCUCACCACAAAAGUCCUUCUCGGGCAGGACGAGGUAAUGGAGUUGAAUCUUUUUUUCUGGUGUCAUUUGUCCCAUUUGACACCCAUAGGGAUAUGGGGUGUCUGGUAGGCACACUUCCACACACACCCAAGGUAUGGUAUGCACAGUGAGCAUUUUUCAGGAUCUUUCUGAUCUGAGGUGUCCCGG
rnacentral:lncRNA from 1 species